rnacentral:rRNA from 1 species
UACGAAGGGAGCUAGCGUUGUUCGGAAUCACUGGGCGUAAAGCGCGCGUAGGCGGCUUUGCAAGUCAGGGGUGAAAUCCCACAGCUUAACUGUGGAACUGCCUUUGAAACUGCAAAGCUGGAAUGUGAGAUGGGAUGGCGGAAUUCCUAAUGUAGAGGUGAAAUUCGUAGAUAUUAGGAGGAACACCGGUGGCGAAAGCGGCCAUCUGGAUCACAAUUGACGCUGAAGUGCGAAAGCGUGGGUAGCAAACAGG